AUCGCUUCUCGGCCUUUUGGCUAAGAUCAAGUGUAGUAUCUGUUCUUAUCAGUUUAAUAUCUGAUACGUCCUCUAUCCGAGGACAAUAUAUUAAAUGCGAGGACAAUAUAUUAAAUGGAUUUUUGGAGCUAGGAGAUGGAAUAGGAGCUUGCUCCGUCCACUCCACGCAUCGACCUGGUAUUGCAGUACCUCCAGGAACGGUGCACCCCCU
rnacentral:snRNA from 1 species